rnacentral:tRNA from 1 species
GGGAAGGUAGCUCAGUGGUAGAGUGCUUGCCUUGCAUGCAUGAGGCCCUGGGUUUGAUUCCUCAACUCCA